rnacentral:rRNA from 1 species
GACGAACGCUGGCGGCGUGCUUAACACAUGCAAGUCGAACGGAAAGGCCCUGCUUUUGUGGGGUGCUCGAGUGGCGAACGGGUGAGUAACACGUGAGUAACCUGCCCUUGACUUUGGGAUAACUUCAGGAAACUGGGGCUAAUACCGGAUAGGAGCUCCGGCUGCAUGGUGGGGGUUGGAAAGUUUCGGCGGUGGGGGAUGGACUCGCGGCUUAUCAGCUUGUUGGUGGGGUAGUGGCUUACCACGGCUUUGACGGGUAGCCGGCCUGGGAGGGUGACCGGCCACAUUGGGACUAGGAUACGGCCCAGACUCCUACGGGAGGCAGCAGUGGGGAAUAUUGCACAAUGGGCGGAAGCCUGAUGCAGCACCGCCGCGUGCGGGAUGACGGCCUUCGGGUUGUAAACCGCUUUCGCCUGUGACGAAGCGUGAGUGACGGUAAUGGGUAAAGAAGCACCGGCUAACUACGUG